rnacentral:misc_RNA from 1 species
UGUACAAAAUCAUCUUCCACUUUUAUUGAGAGACAUCGCCUGUUUUAAGAGCUUUCACAUGUUUUGCUCAGGAGAAUGCUACCAAGAUACACACAGUACAUAUUUUGACUGUCUCAAUAUAUAAAGAUAAUGCACUGUUGUAUAUCUGUGUGUGUUUUUUUGAAUAUCCAUUCUAAUCCUGGUAAAUAAACAAAACUAAAUAUGCAUUAGGCAGAUGCAUCAGUCGUUGUAUGUUUGCUUCAUAUAUUGUUUUGAUACAUUAUAAUAAUCGAACUAGGAUAUCUUUGUCAAAGAGAAAAAGAUAGUAUAACAUGUAACAAUGCUGUGUUUCAUCUGCUG